rnacentral:tRNA from 1 species
UUUAAUAUGACAGAUUAAUGUAAUGAAUUUAAGCUUCAUAAAUAAAGGAUUCCCCUUUUAUUAAAA